rnacentral:rRNA from 1 species
GCUCAGGAUGAACGCUAGCUACAGGCUUAACACAUGCAAGUCGAGGGGUAGCAGGGUAGCAAUACCGCUGACGACCGGCGCACGGGUGAGUAACACGUAUCCAACCUUCCCAUAACUCAGGGAUAGCCUUUCGAAAGAAAGAUUAAUACCUGAUAGUACUUAUUUAGGGCAUCCUAUAUAAGUUAAAGAUUUAUUGGUUAUGGAUGGGGAUGCGUUCCAUUAGAUAGUUGGUGAGGUAACGGCUCACCAAGUCUUCGAUGGAUAGGGGUUCUGAGAGGAAGGUCCCCCACAUUGGUACUGAGACACGGACCAAACUCCUACGGGAGGCAGCAGUGAGGAAUAUUGGUCAAUGGGCGAGAGCCUGAACCAGCCAAGUA